CUGCUGCGGCGAGAUGAAGUGCACGUGCGAGUCGAUGCCGCCUGCGGUGGCGAUGAGGUGUUCACCGGCCAGCAGCUCGGUGCCGGGCCCGACGACGAGGUGGGGGUCGACGCCGCUCUGCGUGUGCGGGUUGCCCGCUUUGCCGAUGCCCGCGAUCUUGCCGUCGCGGAUGCCGAUGUCACCCUUGAUGACGCCCAGGAUCGGGUCGAGGAUGAUGGCGUUGGUGAUCACAAGGUCGAGCACGCCCUGGGCGUCGGUGGCCUGUGGGUCAGCC
rnacentral:sRNA from 1 species